CCGCCGGCCCCCAGCGGGGCGGGAGGAAAGUCCGGGCUCCACAGGACAGGGUGGUGGGUAACGCCCACCGGCCGCGAGGCCAGGGAAAGUGCCACAGAAAGCAAACCGCCCCUCGGCUUGUCCGCGGGGUAAGGGUGAAACGGUGCGGUAAGAGCGCACCAGCAGGUCGGGUGACCGGUCUGGCUCGGUAAACCCCACCCGGAGCAAGGCCAAACAGGGAGCCAUCCCGACUUGUCGGGAUGCGGGCUGGUCCG
rnacentral:RNase_P_RNA from 1 species